CCUACGGGAGGCUGCAGUGGGGAAUAUUGGACAAUGGGGGCAACCCUGAUCCAGCCAUGCCGCGUGUGUGAAGAAGGCCCUCGGGUUGUAAAGCACUUUCAGUGAGGAAGAACGCCUGGUGGUUAAUACCCAUCAGGAAAGACAUCACUCACAGAAGAAGCACCGGCUAACUCCGUGCCAGCAGCCGCGGUAAUACGGAGGGUGCGAGCGUUAAUCGGAAUUACUGGGCGUAAAGCGCGCGUAGGUGGCUUGAUAAGCCGGUUGUGAAAGCCCCGGGCUCAACCUGGGAACGGCAUCCGGAACUGUCAAGCUAGAGUGCAGGAGAGGAAGGUAGAAUUCCCGGUGUAGCGGUGAAAUGCGUAGAGAUCGGGAGGAAUACCAGUGGCGAAGGCGGCCUUCUGGACUGACACUGACACUGAGGUGCGAAAGCUUGGGUAGCAAACAGGAUUAGAUACCCUAGUAGUC
rnacentral:rRNA from 1 species